UUUCUAGUUUCCCAUGUGUUGUCAAAGCAAAGAUUACAAAAGUUCAGAUUUCCAUUUUGGGCAGAGGAGUUGGCUCAUAUAAUUAGCAGACUGGUAGAAAGCCCUGUAGGUCCUUAGAAGUUGGACAUUUGGAAACAGCUUUGUUUUUUGCUAUCACCAAACCUCUUAGAUUCUAAUAUCUUGCUUUUAAUGUUUAUUAUCCAUGCAAUUAUCUGAAUCCACUAUUAUCUCUGAACAGAAAAAUGCUGUUAUAUGCUUAUUUUUCUAUAUCCAAGACUUAUUCUUGAGACAGUCCCGCUUUAGAUUACAUUGUGAUUUCUCUUGAACUCUUUUUUUAAAGCAGGUUUGAAAGUCCACAUAGUUUAUUUUCAUUGGUUUCCCUCUGUUUGUGUAUUUAUUUAUUUGUACCAUGUCAUGAGUUAGUCAACGUAGGUUUGCUUUAAAAUAAUUAUAUGUUCAGACCCUUGUAAAAUCUUAAAAAAUGUAUGUGUGUUUGGAUGUUGCAAAUACAAAUAUCAGUCUGUUAGGCAAAAAUUGUGGAAACCACAACUAAGGUUUGCGUCACUUGUUUAAUAUACAAAGUCUUUCACAGAUAAUUAUUUUCUUUUUCUUAAUUUGCUUUAGUACACAUGAUUCACAAAACAGUAAAUUGUUAAUGCAAGAGAAUUAUGUAAAACCAAAAUAGUACAAAUGCCUAAUUUCAAAAACUGCACACAGUUAAAAUAAUUUUUCCUUCUUUGUUUUAAUGCAGUAUCCAGUUUCAAAAUGGGCUUUCUUUAGAUGUGGAGGAAACACUGCAGCCCAAAAUAACAGUACUUCCUUUCAACUGUGUUGAUAUGUAAAAUAGCACCAUUGGGCUGACUUAGGAAAGAAAAAAGGUUUUCAUCUUUCUUAAUUAAAGUAUUAUAUAACAACUAUAAUAAUAAUGAUACUAAUAACUUUUAAGAGCUGUACUCUGUUCUAUAAUAUUCAUUUUCAAGGCAAGGAAGGGUAAACUAUAUGGGGCAGAUAGAAAAAUCUUCCCACCUCAGCCCCAGGACCCUUAUAAUGUCCCUUAAUGGUGUCAUUGUUCUAAUGAGCUAAUUUUCCUGCCAAAGAAUAGAUGUUUUAAAGAGUACCCAAGGACCUUUUGUAAAACAAGAUAAAAAACCAUGAGGUCGUCUGUCUGGGACUAUAAUCACGUGUAGAAGCAGCGCAGAGUGAGAUUUAAUGCUGGGGUGUUUUGAAAGACUCCUUCAGUCUACACCUAUCUUCCUUCAGGUUACACAUUGCUGUAUCUCAGGUUGUUGGGCUCACUUUAGUUUAGAUUUUGUUCAUUUUUAUUUUGUUUUUGUACUUAAGCUUAAUUGCCUUUUGGGCUUUACUUUUUAAAAAAUUGGAAUUUCUUUCUUUUACAAUUUAAUCUUUACUCCUGUACGAUAAGAGUGAUAGUUCUUUAAAAAAAUUAACAGCAUCAAUGUCUGGUUUAAUACUGAAGAUUCAUGAUUAUAAAGAGCCAAGGUUUUUAACACAACUGUAAUUUCAUUCUUCAAUUUUAGUCCUUUUUUUUUCAAUUCCAUUUUAUUUCUUCCACGAGCAGGUAAACAUGCCUCAAAAUUUGCAUUCCGUAGAGCAGUUUUUCUUUUUGAAGGGUAUAGUCAGUCAGUCUACAAAAAAGCACUGCCACAAAGCUAAAUCGUUUUAUUGUUUGAAAGGGCAAAUGUUCCAUUGCCACACAGAAUGUAAAAAGAAAAUAAUCAACAUUAGAUUUUAAAUGCAGGUAGUUAUUUCAGAUGUUUGAACCAUAAACAAACAACCAUUGCUGAAAAGCUUCUUAAAAGCUUGAAAUUCAGAACUUCAGGGUUUCAAAAAGUCAGAAGAAUAGCAAAAUCAAGUGUUGACUUUUAACCUGCCAGGAAGCUAUAUUAUAUUAUUUUCUCAUUUCAACAAUGUCCAAGCCCAUAAAAGUUAAUUGCAAGAAUUUAGGUAUAGUUUUAAAAUCCCAUGUCCUCUUUUACUAUUAAUAGAAUAAUGCUUACCUUUGCUUUUUAUUCUAGAAAUGUUUUCUUAGUGUUAAAAGUGUAGCCCUUAAUAAAUGAGGCUUUAUUUUAGCCGAUCAUCCUCCACUGUGAAAUCAGCCCUGCAACGUAUCUUGUUUAGGUUCGUACAGAAUUUAAACAAUAUUUUCCAUGUUAAUUAAAGUAAAUAAUUAUUUUACUUUCAGAGCAAACAAAAGAGAAAUCAACAUUUCUUUGUUUGCUGGUGUCUGGAUGUUUUUCCCCGGGAAUAUCUGUAAGCAGCAUGUUGCCAUUACUAACCCACAGGGAAAAUGGAUUAGUAAAAAGCUUAGGACAAUUAACAGGAAAAUUGCAUUAAGGUUAAUCCCUUGGAUAUGGUGCCAUGGUUAAAUCACCCACAGAUUUGUUAUUCAUAAAUGUAUUUAUCUUAAAUAUUUAAAAUGGGCAUUUAAGAGGAAUUUAAUAUACAGUUUGUUUAAGGUCCACAUGUUUUUUAAAACGUUAAUUACUUAUAUCCUUAUUUAUACAGAAUUUUUGGUUCAGUUUAGUUACCUCAACUUUGCUUUCCCUGUGCUUAUAACAAGUUUUAAGAAAGAUGAGUUUUAAACCUUUUGUUUCCUGACUGAAUACCUUAACAUUUUCCCCGCAUAUAUACAUGACUACACACACGCCAUACACACACACAAAAUUGACAUUGUUUACCUUUUGUUUAUUUCUAGGAAUCAAGACUAUCUGGACUCAGUGUCAGCCACUACUAAUAUUUAUACCAUCUUUCUCCUCAUUUAAAGGUUUGUUUUUUUUUUCCCUUUUUCCUAUGAUCUGUGAAGAACAAGCACACUGAUAAUUACAAAGUGCAUCCAUGUGAUACCCAGAUUUGUGCAGUGUGAUACUCAUGCUUUGGUUCUUAUGGCCAUCAUUGCCUUUUCAUGUUAAUAAAUAAUGACAGCUAACAAAAAUAAGUCACCUUUUUUAAUGUAGGACAUCUUUCUUUGACAGGCUACUGUAUCUAUAAUCACCGUUAAUCUAGCUCACUGCAAUGUCAUUCACACAUCAGUUUUACAUGAAUAUGCAAAGAACACAAUAAUCAACUGUCAAACCUAAACGAUUAAUUACUUAUCACAGAAUCUGUUGAAUAUUUUUGUUUUCUAACUGAGCAAGGGAAAUCCUGUCAGCUUUUAAAAGUAAGGGCUAGAUUCUUAGUCAUAAUUACUCAUCAUCUGUCAAGUUGACACCUCAUAUGGAUGAAAUAAGCCUUACACAUUUGAUUUAAUAACAAAAAUAGGUAAUUUUAUUCCCCUAUUGUAAGUACUUCAUAGUAACAAUUUAUUUAUUUCACAACUCUGCUAUAGGCAGAUUGAUUGUUUUAUCUUUCUAUACUUUUGGAUUUUUACCCUUUAGAGAUGUGAACUUCAUCUGACUUUAAAAUGAGGACACUUAAUUUAAUGCUUUUAAAAAUCAUAACUAACUUUUGUGACUUUGAAAUAAAAGAAUGAAUUAAACUGUUUUGAAAUACUCAACAACUGUUAAAUAAAGCAGAAGCUUAGUCUCUAAUUUUACGGCUGUGCUAUCCAAUAUAGUUAAUUCAAGUUGAAGUGUACUUUUAAAUUACCAACUGGAUUUUGAAAACUUGGUUCAAGAAACAGAUGUAAACUAUCAAUCAAUCAAUCAAUUUUUUAUAUUGAUGACAUGUUGAAAUAACAUAUAGUGUUUUUAAAAAAUCAAAAUUCAUUUUAACAAACAAACAUUUAUUUUUACUUUUUAAAAUAGGGCUACUGGGAAGUUAAAUAUUUGCAUCUGUGGCCUGCAUUUGUGGCUGUUGUGUUUCUAUUGGACAGCACUGUAUUAGAGGAACCAGAUGAAAAUAAAUAUAAGACCUGAUAACAGUUCUGUGGGUAUUUAACAGAGCUAAUUAUAUCCGAACAUUUUCUGAAAAUCUUUUGCGUGACUUAAACAAACGUAAUUAAUUCCAAAUAUCAAUGUCUUCAAAUGUAUAUUGCAUCUAUUUAAAAAAAACAUGCAUCUGUCAAAAUAACCAGACUCCACUAAACCAUACAAAUCUGUUAGCUGUCAAAGCAUAUCAAAAUAUGCAUC
rnacentral:lncRNA from 10 species